AGUGAACGCUGGCGGUAGGCCUAACACAUGCAAGUCGAACGGCAGCACAGUAAGAGCUUGCUCUUACGGGUGGCGAGUGGCGGACGGGUGAGGAAUACAUCGGAAUCUACUUUUUCGUGGGGGAUAACGUAGGGAAACUUACGCUAAUACCGCAUACGACCUACGGAUGAAAGCAGGGGAUCUUCGGACCUUGCGCGAUUGAAUGAGCCGAUGUCGGAUUAGCUAGUUGGCGGGGUAAAGGCCGACCAAGGCGGCGAUCCGUAGCUGGACUGAGAGGAUCAUUGCGCAGCCUGGAGGUGGGGCAGCGCCCCGACACCUGCGGGAGGCCGCAGACGGGAAUACUAGGCAAUGGGGGAGAGCGUGGUCCAGCCCUACCGGGUGGGUGCAGACGGCCCUCUGGUGGGAAAGCCCUUUUGUUGGUAGAGAAAAGCAGUAGUUUAAUACGCCGCUGUUCUGACGGUACCCAGAGAAGAAGCACCGGCUAACUUCGUG
rnacentral:rRNA from 1 species